rnacentral:misc_RNA from 1 species
UCUCCGUUGGUGAACCUGCGGAGGGAUCAUUACUGAGUGAGGGGCUCCGGCCCCAGACCUCCAACCCAUUGUUAUCCGACACUGUUGCCUCGGGGGCGACCCGGCCUUCGGGCGUCGGGGCCCCCGGUGGACCAUUUCAACUCCGCGUCUUAUGCGUCGGUUUAAAUUGAUGAAUAUUAUCAAAACUUUCAACAACGGAUCUCUUGGUUCUGGCAUCGAUGAAGAACGCAGC